AAUGAACAAUUAUUGGGUGGUAUAGUAAGUUUCUAACAAGAAAAUGAAAAUUUUGAAAUGCCAGUAAAUUAUGUAAGGCUUAAAUCUACUUGGUUGUUUGACACUAUCGUAAAUUUUUUUCAGACUAGAGUGUUCCUUCCUUGGUGGCCAGCUUAACAAUACAAAUCCAAAAGAUGAGAAAGUCGACAGAAGAUUCCCAACCCCCCCUCCUUUUCAGUAAAAUGUGCACUAAAAAUCUGAACAGAGUGCAUAGCUCACCCAAUGCAGCCUACAAAAUCGAGUAAAAAAUGUAUUUCACUUGGAAAUUUCCUCGUAGUUCCUAGGUCACUUUUUAAAUAGUAACGCUUAACGCUUUCAUCAUCUUCAAGCAGAUUUCAACUUGGCUGAUGUUGAGGCCAGGCAGGAAAGGGUUCUGUGUCCAACGAACAUCAGGAAAGCUCCCAAGAAACCAAGCGCUUUCAAUGUUGUGAAAAGAUCCAACUGUUCUCAAAAUAAUAAGGUUAGAACUUGGAUACAUGUCUUCAAUAAUAACAAGGUAUAGUGCAACAAAAGUCAAAUCCAAAGUCACAAAUCAAACAUAGGUGAGGAGAAGCGCAGAAUUCAUACUACUCUAGGGCCCAUGAGCCACCCAAUAUCUAUCAAAUAGAAGUGAAUAAAAGAAUAGUGUUAUAAACUGACCUUCAGCCAGAAAAGCACAUAGAGCAACAGAACUGCUGCAAUUCCUAAAUGGAAGAGGAUGGCAAAUAUGGCAGGCACAGAUGAAGAAGGAAAAUUCUUCAGGUUCACCCCUAGACGUAAUAGCUGACAAAGGAAAAGAGAAGUUAACAUUACAAAUUAGCAUCCUGUAAGUAGCUGCCCCCAAUUAAUUGAUGCUAACACACUUCAAAUCCCUACUCUCUACUUGGGUGAAUUAAACUACAUAGAUGCUACAUCCCAAGUGCAGGGCCCAAAAUCUCAACUGAGAAAAUUUAACCAGAAGCUUCAAUAGAACACCCUCACAUGCAAUACAUGGAACCAAAUAAGACAAACACAAGUAUUCAGUUUCUUAAACAACCAAGGAAAGUUUAACAAAUUCACUAAAUAAACAGUUCAAUAACCAGUUGGUUCAAAUAAGUCCAGGCAAAUAAUAAGCUGAUAAAAAGGCAACACCAAAACUCAAGUGUCUUGAAAUUUCUGGCAAAUAUUAAUAUAAACUCACCCCAACUAAGAAUCCAAUGAAUGGCAAGAGUGUAAAACCCAAGAAAGUCAGAGAUAGCUCCUUAGGUGGACGCUUAUCUGGUGCCCUAAAGAUGUGGCUUAUCUCUGCUCUUGGACCAUAUCUUGAGUAAGGUUCAACAGGCUGUGUGGGUGGACGAGGUGCCUUCUCAGGUGGUUCUGGUAGGUCCAGCUCAAUAGUACCAAGGGCACUUAGGAAAGAGUUCUCCAUUACAGCAUCACCAACAGUAAGCUGAAUGUCAUAUUUACCGGACAGAUAGAAAAAUUUCUCAACCAGCCCAAGAAAAUCUAGAACUAUCUCAAACUUCUUUCCAGAGUUCGCAACCAAAAAGAUAUGCUCAACACCAGUCUCAUGUCUCAACUUAAGAAUUGCCUGGUGUGGCUCAAAAGCAUGGCCAAGAAGAGUGGUCAAUUGAAAAGCCAGGUGCAGCUUCUGGAGGUGGUUUGCGGACAAUGAGACAAGAUUUUCUCCAGCUAAAUCUAGCUUAUUUUUGGUUUCUACAAUCCCCAAGUCACUAUCAAGCACUUCAAUUUCAGCAUUAUCAACUUUGAUAACUCCCGUUAAAAAAAUUGGAACUUGAGUUUGACUUCCCAUGGUAUAAAUUUUUUUAUGCUCAGGAUCAUGAAGCACUGCCUCAAAAACAAAAAUAUAAUUUCCAACAUCAACACUCUUUGGCAAAGCAUCCAAUAAAUACUCCUCACUUUCAGGAUCAAACUUGAGUUCCUGGUUCUCAAAUAUGGAAGUAUCCUUUGAAUCAGAACUGAGAACUCGUACAAGUUUUACAGUCAGAGGAGGUGCAUUUGAACCAAGUACAGUAUUCACCUUAACCUUAAGCAUGUCCUUCUUAGUCAGUGAAAGCACAGUUGCUGGAAGUGAUAGAAUCAGAGGGAUGGAAACCCUAUUGCUCUCCAGGCAAGCCAAGGAGUCCACUUGAUUGAAUAGAUCUUUAGCAUCGCCAGGAAUACCAAUGCCCAGGAAAAACUUAGCCAAACCCACAAUUUUGUCACCUGGAAGAUUCAAGUUUCCUGAAGACACAGCUGCAAAUGCAGUCAAUCCUCUAACAACAGAAGAUGUAGUUGAAAGAGGACCUUGAUGUUCAUGCGCAUCAACCAGUUUCUCAUCAAAGUACAAAGCCCCAUCAUCAUACUUCUCAAUGCUGUCAAACAACUUCAGUAUAUCAUUUUUAGUUGUAGCAAUCAGAGAUUGAUCAAUCUCAGAAGAUGAUAACAAGACCACCCCAGCAAGAGCUUCAAGUGCUAACCCUGCAGCAAAGGUACUAGACUCAGGUUUAUUAGAACUAUAGCGCCAUCUUCCAUCACUCUGGCUCAAAGCCUUGAUGGAGUGAAAAAUUCCUUCAGUGUCACCAAGAUGUAGAUCAUCUUUAGAUGUCUGAUCCUUGAUAAGUACCAAACUUCCUAUUGAAUGGUAGAAGUCAAGCAACAAACUAGCACUGCUGACAGCAGCUUGAAUUUUUGAAACAACGCCCUCAAAAACUUCCUCACUUAUCUCACAUUUUAAUAUUCCAUUCACUUUUAAAGCAUAAAACAAAUCCUUUGAUACUGAAGAUGACGACGCAAGGGUUUCCAUUACAGAACGGCAAGCUGGUAAACUUAUGUCCGGCUUUUUAUCAAGUCCAAGAACCUCAAAUGUCCGAAGGGCCUCAAAUGUUUCUUCUAAACUUCUAAAGGACCCAUCAAGAGGCGUGAAAAGCUCCAAAGCGGCAGAUCGGUGGGAGUCAGAAAUUGGUUGAAAGAUCGAAGCAGCAGAGACAACGAAAGCUAAGCAGAUCAAUGCUGCCACG
rnacentral:misc_RNA from 1 species